rnacentral:rRNA from 1 species
GACGAACGCUGGCGGCGUGCUUAACACAUGCAAGUCGAACGGAAAGGCCCUGCUUUUGUGGGGUGCUCGAGUGGCGAACGGGUGAGUAACACGUGAGUAACCUGCCCUUGACUUUGGGAUAACUUCAGGAAACUGGGGCUAAUACCGGAUAGGAGCUCCUGCUGCAUGGUGGGGGUUGGAAAGUUUCGGCGGUUGGGGAUGGACUCGCGGCUUAUCAGCUUGUUGGUGGGGUAGUGGCUUACCAAGGCUUUGACGGGUAGCCGGCCUGAGAGGGUGACCGGCCACAUUGGGACUGAGAUACGGCCCAGACUCCUACGGGAGGCAGCAGUGGGGAAUAUUGCACAAUGGGCGGAAGCCUGAUGCAGCAACGCCGCGUGCGGGAUGACGGCCUUCGGGUUGUAAACCGCUUUCGCCUGUGACGAAGCGUGAGUGACGGUAAUGGGUAAAGAAGCACCGGCUAACUACGUGCCAGCAGCCGCGGUGAUACGUAGGGUGCGAGCGUUGUCCGGAUUUAUUGGGCGUAAAGGGCUCGUAGGUGGUUGAUCGCGUCGGAAGUGUAAUCUUGGGGCUUAACCCUGAGCGUGCUUUCGAUACGGGUUGACUUGAGGAAGGUAGGGGGGAAUGGAAUUCCUGGUGGAGCGGUGGAAUGCGCAGAUAUCAGGAGGAACACCAGUGGCGAAGGCGGUUCUCUGGGCCUUUCCUGACGCUGAGGAGCGAAAGCGUGGGGAGCGAACAGGCUUAGAUACCCUGGUAGUCCACGCUGUAAACGGUGGGUACUAGGUGUGGGGUCCAUUCCACGGGUUCCGUGCCGUAGCUAACGCUUUAAGUACCCCGCCUGGGGAGUACGGCCGCAAGGCUAAAACUCAAAGGAAUUGACGGGGCCCCGCACAAGCGGCGGAGCAUGCGGAUUAAUUCGAUGCAACGCGUAGAACCUUACCUGGGUUUGACAUGGAUCGGGAGUGCUCAGAGAUGGGUGUGCCUCUUUUGGGGUCGGUUCACAGGUGGUGCAUGGCUGUCGUCAGCUCGUGUCGUGAGAUGUUGGGUUAAGUCCCGCAACGAGCGCAACCCUUGUUCACUGUUGCCAGCACGUUAUGGUGGGGACUCAGUGGAGACCGCCGGGGUCAACUCGGAGGAAGGUGGGGAUGACGUCAAGUCAUCAUGCCCCUUAUGUCCAGGGCUUCACGCAUGCUACAAUGGCUGGUACAGAGAGUGGCGAGCCUGUGAGGGUGAGCGAAUCUCGGAAAGCCGGUCUCAGUUCGGAUUGGGGUCUGCAACUCGACCUCAUGAAGUCGGAGUCGCUAGUAAUCGCAGAUCAGCAACGCUGCGGUGAGUACGUUCCCGGG